GGAUGAACGCUGGCGGCGUGCUUAACACAUGCAAGUCGAACGGAAAGGCCUCUGCUUGCAGGGGUACUCGAGUGGCGAACGGGUGAGUAACACGUGGGUGAUCUGCCUUGUACUUCGGGAUAAGCCUGGGAAACUGGGUCUAAUACCGGAUAGGACCAAUCUUUAGUGUGGUUGGUGGAAAGUUUUUUCGGUACGAGAUGAGCCCGCGGCCUAUCAGCUUGUUGGUGGGGUAAUGGCCUACCAAGGCGACGACGGGUAGCCGGCCUGAGAGGGUGUACGGCCACAUUGGGACUGAGACACGGCCCAGACUCCUACGGGAGGCAGCAGUGGGGAAUAUUGCACAAUGGGCGGAAGCCUGAUGCAGCGACGCCGCGUGAGGGAUGACGGCCUUCGGGUUGUAAACCUCUUUCGCUAGGGAAGAAGCCUUUGUGGUGACGGUACCUGGAUAAGAAGCACCGGCUAACUACGU
rnacentral:rRNA from 1 species